AAGAAAGAAGCAUAGGUGGUUUGAUGCAAUUGGCUUGAAACCAGUGUAUGAGGGUUCGAUUCCUUCCUUUCUUG
rnacentral:tRNA from 1 species